UACGUAGGGUGCGAGCGUUAAUCGGAAUUACUGGGCGUAAAGUGUGCGCAGGCGGCAGAGCAAGUCGAGUGUGAAAGCCCUGAGCUUAACUUGGGAAUUGCGCUCGAAACUACUUUGCUGGAGUGUGGCAGAGGAAGGUGGAAUUCCACGUGUAGCGGUGAAAUGCGUAGAGAUGUGGAGGAACACCAAUGGCGAAGGCAGCCUUCUGGGCCAACACUGACGCUCAUGCACGAAAGCGUGGGGAGCAAACAGG
rnacentral:rRNA from 1 species